AAGACAAUAAGUAUAGUAGGAAAAGUUUCAUUUGAAGCCAUGGGUAUUCUAUUUCAACAUUACUACAUAGGGAAACUAAAAAUACAAGGGUUUUGUUCUCC